rnacentral:rRNA from 1 species
GAGACACGGUCCAGACUCCUACGGGAGGCAGCAUGGGGAAUAUGGACAAUGGACGAAAGCCUGAUCCAGCCAUGCCGCGUGUGUGAAGAAGGUCUUCGGAUUGUAAAGCACUUUAAGUUGGGAGGAAGGGCAGUAAGUUAAUACCUUGCUUGCGUUUCGACGUUACCGACAGAAUAAGCACCGGCUAACUCUGUGCCAGCAGCCGCGGUAAUACAGAGGGUGCAAGCAUUAAUCGGAAUUACUGGGCGUAAAG